AACGCGAAGAACCUUACCUGGGCUUGAACUACUCGUGGUAAGCCGGUGGAAACAUUGGCUGACCCGCAAGGGAGCGAGCAGAGGUGCUGCAUGGUUGUCGUCAGCUCGUGUCGUGAGAUGUUGGGUUAAGUCCCGCAACGAGCGCAACCCCUAUCUCAUGUUGCUAAUCCCGCAAGGGAUGCACUCUUGAGAAACUGCCUUCGAUAAGAAGGAGGAAGGUGGGGACGACGUCAAAUCCUCAUGGCCCUUAUGUCCAGGGCUACACACGUGCUACAAUGGCCGGUACAACGGGAAGCAAUACCGCAAGGUGGAGCCAAACCCUGAAAGCCGGCCUCAGUUCAGAUCGUGGGCUGCAACUCGCCCACGUGAAGGCGGAAUCGCUAGUAAUCGCGAAUCAGCAGGUCGCGGUGAAUACGUUCCCGGGCCUUGUA
rnacentral:rRNA from 1 species